UGGGGGAUAUUGCACAAUGGGCGAAAGCCUGAUGCAGCGACGCCGCGUGGGGGAUGAAGGCCUUCGGGUUGUAAACUUCUUUUGCUCUGAACAAGGCCUGCUAAUGGGUGUGUUGAGUGUAGGGGUUGAUUAGCGCCGGCUAACUACGUUCCAGCAGCCGCGGUAAUACGUAUGGCGCGAGCGUUGUCCGGAUUUAUUGGGCGUAAAGGGCUUGUAGGUGGCUGGUUGCGUCGGUCGUGAAAGCUCAUGGCUUAACUGUGGGUUUGCGGUGGGUACGGGCUGGCUUGAGUGGAGUAGGGGAGGCUGGAAUUCCUGGUGUAGCGGUGGAAUGCGGAGAUAUCAGGAGGAAUACCGGUGGCGAAGGCGGGUCUCUGGGCUGUUACUGACACUGAGGAGCGAAAGCAGGGGGAGCGAACAGG
rnacentral:rRNA from 1 species